ensembl:lncRNA
UGCCUCUAGUACCUGGCGCCAUGUGCAUACAAUUGCUCAUGCUACCAACCAAUACUCCUUCCUUUGUGCCUUAAACUUUCAAUCAUCAAGUCCUGUGAAUUCUACCUCAAACCUGUAUCUCAAAUCUAACUUCUUCUGUAUCCACCCUUAUCCAACAGCACUGGCCUGGACUGACAGGAAGGCAAGGACAGGGUUUCAACGUUGUGGGGUUGACUGUAGCCAGAUGCUGCAGAUUAGCACAAGCCCGGAGAUGACAGACACUCAGGAGAUUACUGCAACAGACCAGAAAUGGGAGAACCCAGAUGCCCAAGCACACCUUACAGAGAGACCAGGUUCAGUCCCAAGUGGUAUGAGGCUAUCCCCUGAGCCAUAAGAUGGUUGCAAACUCUGAUGCCCUGGAAUUCCAUUCCCCCGGACUGGAGAGCCUCCUGAUAAAAGAAACCACCUGGGGGCAGGAGUCCAACCUACAAGCCCACCAUCGUGGUCCUGAAAGACUCCUGUCAGUGCAUUAGGCCCCUCUGCCAGGAUAAGGCAACUGGGCCAGAGAGGCUCUUAGUCACCUCCAGAGACUGUGCCAUCAGUGGCUAAGGCCAGAGAUGCCCACGCAGGAGCAGAUGCUGAAGCUCCUGGAGCUGGAACACUCUGGCCCAUCCUAAGAGAUCCACAUGGGUUCAGUGUCACACCCAGAGGGUGACAAGAGGCAGCAACCCGGAUGGAGGAUUUGCAGUGACAGCCCAGGAACCAGGAUCCUGAGUGAGAAGGGCCAGAGACCCAGAGAGUGAACACAAGGCAUGUGUCUGAUUUCUGGUGUGAUCCUUGACCUCCGAUUCUCACAAUCCUGGAUCAGAGAGGACUCUUAUCAUCUCUUCCAGAAGAGAGCCUGUUUCCCAGGAAAUCAUCCUGCACAGUGUGGUAAAUGCCUCAGAAGUGGACACACAGAGGCAUGUGCUCUGGAGGUGUCUGUGUCACUGAGGUACCCUGAAGACACAUUGCGCUGGUGGACUUCUUCCGUGCAUUCAGGAGUUCAGAUGGACCGAUGUUUGUGGAGCCUUCCUGUGGGUCUGUAACAUGAGCCCCCUCCUUCCUGGACCUCUGCACCAGCCCAUCCCCUCUCCAAGGUAUUCACAGAAGCAACCAGGGCUCCAGGUGCACAAGCCUGAGUGGCUGGAAGUCCAGCUUCUUAGAACUUAAAGCAACUAGGAUGCCCCUCCAAAUAAAAUGUUGCACCGUAUGAUGAGUUCCCCUGUCC